CGCAGGCACUCGUCAUGUACAUCUCGGCUACAUGUGCAUAUACGUACUGUACAAUACAUACACGUGCGCCUCGUACAAAUUUCCCUGUUUGUGCUUUUGCUCUUGUUUCCGGAUGAACCUGUAUUACUCGACAUACUGUAAUAACUACACAAAGAUUAUCAACACGGAUUAUACUCUACACAAGGAUUAUCUUGUCACUAGGGUGGAUUUGCAUUUAGUUACGUUUGUUCUAGAAGUCAUGAGCUUUUAAUUAAAUACAUGCGAUGUGGUGAUGGAACUACGUCGACGUGUUUGGCUCUUUCUCAUCCAGUAAUAUUUUAGAGCCACUAAUACAUGAACUGUUGGUGAAAUUUACUGAUAAACGUGAUAUUGCAAGGAAUCGUUUGUGGUAUUCCAUGGACUUCUGCUAGGACAAACGCACUAACUGUUUAGAAAUGUGGAACUGGAAACAAGUUUUAUUAGCCACUAUAAUUCUGAUUUCGAUAGCAUUUCGAGGAGGACGGGCUAUUAAGUGCUACGAAUGCCAUUACGUGAGCGGAACAGACAUUCCUUAUGCUGAAGCUUGGAAUGAUAAGAAAACGAAUUGUCUCAACAGCAAAAUUGUUGAGUGCGAACCAGGCAUAACCCAUUGUCGAAACGGAACGCUCUUUUACACAGGCAGUAGUAAUUUUCGGUAUGAUGCUCAGUACUGUGGGUCCAAAGUGGAGAGAGAAGCUGACAGACAGGAGAAACCCUGUGAACCAUUUAAAGACCGGGAAGCUACCAGCGCUAUACGGUGCCGCUGUGAAACGGAUCUCUGCAAUGCCUUUCCAAAAAAUGAAUCAUCGAGUACGCAGAGCAGCACCCAGCAAAGUAUAGCUUGCCCAUUUGCAUCGGCCAACCAGUCCGCAGAUGGUGGUAUAACGCCGGUUCCGACGGUGUGGUUGCGUUUUGGACUAGGCGCGGGAUGUUUGGCUGUUAGGUUACUCGUACUUGGAUGGCUUGAAAACUGGUAGCAGGCUGGUUCAAGCCGACCCAUUGGGAAGUGCAAAAAGGUUUGCGAAAAGAUGAGAAAGGAAUAAGGCAGUUGGAUGCAAUGGAUCAGUCGGCUCAAUUACGUACACUGAGUCAUUGUGUCAAAUGCAAAUGACCGGUAUAAUUCAAUUCAUGUUUUGCCCUAUGAUUCUUAGGCUCCGAUUAGUCUUUUAAAGCAGCCAUCUGAAAACGUACUGUGCACUGCCUACAGUAAUCAGAUUAAUUGUAAUAUGUAAUUAUUAUGGUUCAUAUUGUGUUACUAUGGCUUAAAUGCUUAGAGAUAUUUUCCUUUACGAAUUUCUUUUUCACAGAUUAAGCUGUAUUUCUGCGAAUACUUAAGGAGCACGACGACAAGAUGUUUUUUUGGAUCAGUGUUGUGGUAUUGUGGUUGGAUAUUAAGUACUAGUAUUAACUAUUAACAUUCUUGAAACGAUCGAGAAUUGUUUAACGUUAUUAUUAAAAGCAUACUUUCGACAGAUAUGCGGUGGUAUUACAAACAACAACUACUACAAAUUUGUAGAACACUGGGCAUCUAGCUAAGGAGCCACAAUUUUGAAUCACAUGCAUGGCUCGUUAUAAGUGGCAAAGUGUGCCAUAGUUUUGUAAAAGCAUCGGUAACUUCCAUAUUGAACGAGUAUAUUUCCCUGGAUGAUCUCCCUAAACUAUGGUCCGAUGGGAGUCGAUAUUUCUGACCACGAUUAUUUUAAGGACAUUUCACAAAGGAGAAGCGAUCAAAUGUUACCACUGCCUGUACGUGAGCGGAGACGUUCCAAAUUUUGAGGCAUGGAAAGACAAAAGAACGAACUGUCUUAACAGCAAUUCCACGGAAUGUAAUCCAGGCAUAACCAGCUGUGAAAACGUAACGUUAUUUUAUACAGGAA